UACAGAGGCCCCGAGCGUUGUUCGGAAUUACUGGGCGUAAAGGGAAUGUAGGUGGCUAUAUAAGUCAGAUGUGAAAUCCCCGGGCUUAACCCGGGAACUGCAUUUGAUACUGCAUAGCUCGAGUGCGGAAGAGGAGAGCGGAAUUCCCAGUGUAGGAGUGAAAUCCGUAGAUAUUGGGAGGAAUACCGAUGGCGAAGGCAGCUCUCUGGUCCGUAACUGACACUGAGAUUCGAAAGCGUGGGUAGCAAACAGG
rnacentral:rRNA from 1 species